CGGCUUCACACUUUCAAAAACCUCCAUGCAUGAAAAGUCAUUUGGACACCGGUCCAAUGGCUUUUAUAAGCAGAAGAAAAAAAAAAUCCUCUAACUGACGCGGAAUAUCGGGCAAAUCAUUUGGGAAAAUGUGAAUAUCAGCUUGUGUUUACAUCUAUCGAUGUAUAAGUGCGGAGGACAUGACCUCCACUCUACAUAAUGUCGUUUGUUCUGCAAGUGAUGACAGCACAGAUGGGUCUGGAUGGAAGCAGCCCUGGACCUACCAAGACUUACACAAGUGAUCGGGACCUUUCAGGACCAGUCGCACGUGCCGACUGCCGUAGGGGACGAGAACAACCGUGUCCUCCGCUAAGGAAUGAAGAAAGAGGUAGGAGGGAAGAAGAGAUGCCGUCAAGCGAUCAACAAGUGUCCAGCAAACUGUCCUCAAUCAGCAGAGCGCCAGUAAUUGUGUCGCUACCACACGUACACUAUAGUUGGCAGCAUGUUAUUAUGAGUAUGUAUGAGUAGGUAUAUUAACCGGUUACCUCCUUU